GGCGAACGCUGGCGGCGUGCUUAACACAUGCAAGUCGAACGGAAAGGCCCUGCUUUUGUGGGGUGCUCGAGUGGCGAACGGGUGAGUAACACGUGAGUAACCUGCCCUUGACUUUGGGAUAACUUCAGGAAACUGGGGCUAAUACCGGAUAGUAGCUCCUGCUGCAUGGUGGGGGUUGGAUAGUUUCGGCGGUUGGGGAUGGACUCGCGGCUUAUCAGCUUGUUGGUGGGGUAGUGGCUUACCAAGGCUUUGACGGGUAGCCGGCCUGAGAGGGUGACCGGCCACAUUGGGACUGAGAUACGGACCAGACUCCUACGGGAGGCAGCAGGGGGGAAUAUUGCACAAUGGGCGGAAGCCUGAUGCAGAAACGCCGCGUGCGGGAUGACGGCCUUCGGGUUGUAAACCGCUUUCGCCUGUGACGAAGCGUGAGUGACGGUAAUGGGUAAAGAAGCACCGGCUAACUACGUG
rnacentral:rRNA from 1 species